rnacentral:rRNA from 1 species
UACAGAGGCCUCGAGCGUUGUUUCGGAAUUACUAGGGCGUAAAGGGAGUGUUAGGUGGUGACGUAAAGUCAGAUGUGAAAAGCCCCUGGGCUUAACCCGGGAAGUGCAUUUUGAAUAGCUGCGUUGCUAGAGUGCAAGAGAGGAAAGUGGAAUUCCCCAGUGUAGGGGUGAAAUCCGUAAGAUAUUGGGAGGAAUACCAAUGGCGUAGGCAAGCUUUCUGGCUUGUAACGUGACACUGAGACUCGAAAGCGAUGGGUAGCAA